AAAGCCUCGCAAGGGGCCUGUAGCGUGGCAAACGGGUGAGUAACACGUGGGUGACCUGCCUUCGAGCGGGGGAUAACGCUCCGAAAGGGACGCUAAUACCGCAUGACAUCCUGCCUUUGAAGAGGUGGAGAUCAAAGCCGGGGAUCGCAAGACCUGGCACUCGAAGAGGGGCCCGCGCCUGAUUAGCUAGUUGGUGGGGUAAUGGCUCACCAAGGCAACGAUCAGUAUCCGGCCUGAGAGGGCGGACGGACACACUGGGACUGAGACACGGCCCAGACUCCUACGGGAGGCAGCAGUGGGGAAUUGUUCGCAAUGGGCGCAAGCCUGACGACGCAACGCCGCGUGGAGGAUGAAGACCUUCGGGUCGUAAACUCCUUUCGAUCGAGACGAAUGGCCUUCGGGUUAACAGCCCGGAGGAGUGACGGUACCGAGAGAAGAAGCCCCGGCUAACUCCGUGCCAGCAGCCGCGGUAAUACGGGGGGGGCAAGCGUUGUUCGGAAUUACUGGGCGUAAAGGGCUCGUAGGUGGCCAACUAAGUCAGACGUGAAAUCCCUCGGCUUAACCGGGGAACUGCGUCUGAUACUGGAUGGCUUGAGUUUGGGAGAGGGAUGCGGAAUUCCAGGUGUAGCGGUGAAAUGCGUAGAUAUCUGGAGGAACACCGGUGGCGAAGGCGGCAUCCUGGACCAAUACUGACACUGAGGAGCGAAAGCCAGGGGAGCAAACGGGAUUAGAUACCCCGGUAGUCCUGGCCCUAAACGAUGAAUGCUUGGUGUGGCGGGUAUCGAUCCCUGCCGUGCCGAAGCUAACGCAUUAAGCAUUCCGCCUGGGGAGUAC
rnacentral:rRNA from 1 species